CCUCCGGCCGCAGCUGCCCCGCCAGCGCCCCGCUCCCGCCUAGUUAGUCCCGCCGCCUCUCCCCAAAUCGUUGGUGGCGGCGGCUGGAACAGGCCCGUCCGCAGCCUCCGACGUGCCCUGUCCUUCCAGGGCUGGAGGGAGUUCAGUUGAAGUGAAGUGAGGAAAAUCAAGAAAAUGGGAAACGGUUUACUGCAAAGACUCUUCCUUUCCCAAUGACUUUUAAGACAAGGCUGGACACAGGUCCUCCAAAUUCCCAUUCGUCACAUUGGUCUCAGUGAAGUCCUCCACUCUUUUCUCCAGCUCGGUACAAGGCAACUAAAUGGAGAAAGGGUAGUCUUUUCAUCAAAUGGUCCUGGAAGUAUUGUCAUCCCUAUGUUAAAUGAAUAAAUGAAUGAAUGAGGAGCGAAUAGAUAAAUAGCCCCAGGUUUCUUAUCUAUAAAGUGGAGUGGUAGUAAAUUUAACUCUAGCAGUGUAUUCCAAAAGAUCAGAAGACACUGUCAUCCACCUGACACCAGAACCUGCACGUUAUACUACUCUGGAGUACACCAUAGAUGGAGAACUUCAGUGGCAUGAAGGUGAAGGUCAUUGGUUUUGAGAAUUCUGAAGCAUUGUAAUGUCACGAUGAUAAAAGGCAUAUUGACCUGGAUUUUUUUAAAAAAAUAUUUUAUUUAAUCCAUUUGACACGCAGAGAGAGAGCACAAGCAGGGGGAGUGGCAGGCAGAGGGAGAGGGAGAAGCAGGCUCCCCACUAACUAGGGAGCCUGACAUGGGCUUGAUCCCAGGACUCUGGGAUCCUGACCUGAGCCAAAGGCAGACGCUUAACUGACUGAGCCACCCAGGUGUCUCUUGACCUGGAUUUUGUAAUUGCCUAUUAAUUGUCUACAUUCCCCCACUAGAAGGAAAAUGCCAUUGGAGAGAAGAACCUGUCUCUUACGUGUCAUACCGAAUGCGUAGAAAGUGCCUGGAAAGCAUAUAUCAAUAAUAGGUGCUCCAUAAGUAUUUAUGGAAAGAAGUAAGGAAGAAAGGAACUACAAAGAGUCUAUCAGAAUUAGAAAAGAUCUGUUUUAGGCAUUACCCUCAUUUUAUCAAAUGUAUUUUAAGAUCCUUAAGUGUAUGUGACUUUCUUUUCUUUUCCCCUCAGUUGU